rnacentral:lncRNA from 1 species
AGAACAUGACAUCUAUGUGACAUCAGUUUUAUUGCCUGCAGAGCCUGCAUAUAACCUCACUGGACAUCUAAAAUCCAUUUUUCAGUGACUUCAAGCUACGUCUAGCAAAGUACUGAAACGCUCGUUCCCAACCUUAAAGCCUUUUUUCAAGAUAAAACCUGCAAAUAUUUACGCUCUUUCUCAAAGAACACUGAAUAUUUCGCACAUCUCUGAUAAAAUGGCUUAUAACAAAAGAAACAAACAGAACUUUCAUGGCCAGAAGCCUAGGAAGAACCACCAUGGUGUUGGAUAUCCCUCUCAUUACGAUCACGGAUAUGACAAUCCCUAUCCAGUUGGGUUUAAUCCACAUGUAAAGCAGAAUUUCUCUGAUCCGGACUCCCUCAUCUCUGAGCUCAGAAAACAGAUCAGACUGGAAGAGGAAGAGAAAAAUCGGCAGAUCCAACAGAAAGCAUUGGAAGCUGAAACAAUGCAGAAGAAAAAUGAAGCCUGCAGAUUAGAAAACCAGCUGCUGCAGGAAAAGAACAACAACCUGCAGAAACAGAACCAAGAAAUUCGUAGUCAAAACGAAGAUUUAAACCAAAAACACAGAGCAUUUUCUUGCAAUGAGACAUCUUUCAACGCACUGAAAGAAAAACUGCAAAAGAUGCGAGAAGAAGUUCGGAUUCUCCGAGACCAGAACCAAAAUGUGGAUUUGGAAGAGAUGCAGAAAGUGGUGACUGAAAGCCAGGGAGUGACACAAAUGGUUAGAGAUGAGAACUCUACGCUGGUUCUGAAAGUGGAAAACCUCCAAGAGGAGAACAAUCAGCUGAAGACACAACUGCAAGCAGCUCCCCAGCAUGAGGUGGCUCCUUUAACCAACACGCUGCCUGCAGAGGUGGAGGAGCUCAGAAAAACUCUUGAAGCUUCUCAGUUUGUGACGCAAAGCUUUAGAGAGGGAAACAUUAAGAUGAUUCAGGAAGUCCAGGAGCUUAGAAAAGCAAAGGAGCAGCUGAAGGAAAAUCUCCAGAAAGCUUCACUACAACAAAAUGACUUUCCUGAAAUGAUCCAUCAAAUCAAUCAGACUGAUAAAGAGAGGAUAGAAUUAAGAGACCAGCUGUUUGAAGAAAUUAAAACCACAGAGCUGCUCAAAGAAAGCCUCUUUUACCUGGAGGAUCACGUGGAUGAACUGAAGGACAAAGUCACAAGUUUAGAAGGAAACACCACAGAGAGAAAGCAAUGUUUGAACCUGGAGGACUAUGAUGUGAUCAUAGAAGAGGAAUGGAUGGAGGAAGAGGAAGAGAUGGAGGAAAAUAAAGAGAUGGAGGAAAAUAAAGAGAUGAAGGAAAAUAAAGAGAUGGAGGAAAAUAAAGAGAUGGAGGAAAAUGAUAGGGUGGAGGUAAAUGAACAAAAGGAAGAAGAAAGUGUAGAAAAAAAUGAGCUGUUCUUAGAGAAAACGGAGGAAAUGUU